rnacentral:ncRNA from 1 species
AUUGGUCAAUGGUCUAACGACUGAACCAGUAACUUGGAAGAAUGUAUGUAUUAUAAUUAAUACAAUAACGAUUAAUUCGUAUAAAAUUCUAAAUAGGAUAAUGAUAAUGACAAUUUCCUAUUUAUAAGUCUUGACCAAAUUACGUGCCAGCAGUCGCGGUAAUACGUAGAAGACUAGUGUUAGUCAUCUUUAUUAGGUUUAAAGGGUACCUAGACGGUAAAUAACACUUAAAUAGAGUAUUUAUUUACUAGAGUUUUAUAAGAGAAGGAAGAACUUCUGGAGUAGUGAUAAAAUAUGUUGAUACCAGAGGGACUGGUAACGGCGAAGGCAUCCUUCUAUGUAAAAACUGACGUUGAGGGACGAAGGCUUGGGUAGCAAUAAGGAUUAGAUACCCUAGUAGUCCAAGCAGAAAAUGAUGAAUGUCAUAGACUAGAUAAAAAUUUAGUCUAUAAAUGAAAGUGUAAGCAUUCCACCUCAAGAGUACUAUGGCAACAUAUAAACUGAAAUCAUUAGACCGUUUCUGAAACCAGUAGUGAAGUAUGUUAUUUAAUUCGAUAAUCCGCGAAUAACCUUACCACAAUUUGAAUAUAUUAAGUUAUUACAAGCGCUGCACGGCUGUCUUUAGUUAAUGUCGUGAGAUCUGGUUAACUCCUAAAAUUAACGAAAACCCUCAUUUUAUUUGUAUAUAUAAAGUGGUUCUCCAGUAUAGUGGAAAGAUAAAAGGGAUUAAGACAAGUCAUCAUGGCCUAAAUAUUGUGGGCUAUAGACGUGCCACAUAUGCCUCUACAAAGGGAUGCUAUAUUGCGAAAUGGAGCUAAUCCCCAAAAUUGGAUAUAAUAUGGAUUGUUGUCUGUAAUUCGACAGCAUGAAUAAGGAAUUACUAGUAAUCGUGAAUCACCAUCGUCACGGUGAAUCUAAUCUCAGCUAGGUACUAACCACUCGUCAGGCGCUGAAAGGAGUAUGUGCAAUAAGUUUGGUUUGUUUAUAUAUUAAUAUACAUGAUUCUUGAUGUAUAAAUAUGUAGAUUUAAUUUUCGUAUGCAUGACUUUAAUUGGUGUUAAGUCGAAAUAUGGUUCGUGUAAUGGAAAUUGCACGGGAUUAAUAAAUUUG